CGUAGGUCCCGAGCGUUAUCCGGAUUUAUUGGGCGUAAAGCGAGCGCAGGCGGUUGGAUAAGUCUGAAGUUAAAGGCUGUGGCUUAACCAUAGUAUGCUUUGGAAACUGUUCAACUUGAGUGCAGAAGGGGAGAGUGGAAUUCCAUGUGUAGCGGUGGAAUGCGUAGAUAUAUGGAGGAACACCGGUGGCGAAAGCGGCUCUCUGGUCUGUAACUGACGCUGAGGCUCGAAAGCGUGGGUAGCGAA
rnacentral:rRNA from 1 species